UAAUGGGAAAAAAAAAAAGAUUUAUAACAUUUUUUUUUCUCUAUACCAUAUACUUGAAAACUACAUUAUUAAGCCAUUAGCAAUGGCACGAUUAGUAUCAACAUGAGUAGUUUCAUACACAGGAAGCUCCUGGCAAUACCUAUCCUUUCCAAUUGCUGAAAGAUGAUCGAGUUCGAACAAAUCUGAACUCGAACAACUUAUAUCAUCAUCAUCGUCAUCAUCGUCUUCGAAAUGAUCAUUGUAUUUGCAGCCAACACUCCUCAUAAUCAGAUCAUCAUUUUUCUUUUGAUUUUGAUGAUAAUCUUUCAAGAUUUCUCUUGCGACUUCCUCCACUCUCUUGCUCUUCUCCAUUACUUGGUAUUUGAGCUCAUCAUCCACUUUUCUUGAUGGUGAUUUCCCAAUUUUCCAUGCAGUUGGCAGAGAGACAGACAUGACACUGGAUGAUUCCUCUUUUUCGUACAAAGAUUUGUGUCCACACGGUCUACAAUCUUCGUCAACAAUUACACUAACUGGGCAAAAUCGAACAGACCUUUUAACCCCGUUUCGAAGUUUUUCCCUUGUGGAUGGUGAACUCUUGCUUAAGCAUGAUCUUGAAAAGGAUGAAGCUGAAGAGCAAGUUGAUGUUGCCUGUCCAGGCUUGGAUUUCCAGUCUUCAUCACAAUUGCUAAUGGAAGAUGAAUUCUUUGAUUUCUUUGUGUUCCCAGAUGUAAAUAGAGAAUUAAUGAAGUUUGCAAGCUUACCACCAGGUGAAAUUGGCUGUUUCACCUUCUUUAGAUUGUUGUAAAUCUUUAAAGCUCUUGAUUUGGACUUGAUUAUGCCCUCUUCAACCCUUGGAGUUUGCUCUGUAGCUGAGCUGUAGGGAUAAUCACCAAACAUUUGCAAUUCUCUCUGUUCGUAAAACAGAGUCCUUCCUGUUCUCUCUGUUUUCUCCAUUUUUUCUGAUAGAGAAGAGACGCUGGUCCUUACGGGCUUAGGCCUCGGUGCGGCGGAGAAUGAAGAGGCCCUUGAUCUUGCACCGUGGAAGGACUCUGUAUCGGAGGAUGAGAAUCCACCGGAACUAGAAUCUGAGGAGGUAGAAGUUGAGCUAAAGAACAUAACAUCCUGGUCUAGAUCAUGUUCAAGCUGUGAUUUCCUCUUGAAUUCCGUCAAAUUUUUUCUGCUAUGUUGCAUGCUGACCUUUUGGCUCACCUUGUGGUCCAUCCAUUUCUCGAUCAAACAAGCUCGGCGAAGUGCUGCCAUCUCUUUGUCCUCUUCAAUGGCUACACCGCUUUUUAUACAAGAACCUUUGCUGUGCUUCUUGGGCAUUAUCGUUUCGCCAUAAAAUUUCAAAUCUUCACGCUUUGUGUCACCUUCACAUGUGGAACGGUAGAUUUCAUCGAGAAGACUGGAAGAGAAAGAUGGGGUCUUACCCUCGUUCUUGUAUCUGCCUUCUCUCAUAGCUUUCUCCCACCUAUGCAUGGUUUCUCUGUGGAAAUGAACAAAACAAGGAUUACACACACACGCACAGAUUUAUGUGGAAACAGAGAGAGAAACAAGAAGAGGUCUUGAGAUUGGGUUCUCUUUUUUUGUCUGUUUAGAGAGGCCGAAAGGCUGCAAUAGAGAGAGACAGAGAGAGAGGGAGAGAGAG
rnacentral:misc_RNA from 1 species